rnacentral:rRNA from 1 species
AUUGAACGCUGGCGGCAUGCUUUACACAUGCAAGUCGAACGGUAACAGGUCUUCGGAUGCUGACGAGUGGCGAACGGGUGAGUAAUACAUCUGAACGUGCCUAGUAGUGGGGGAUAACUACUCGAAAGAGUAGCUAAUACCGCAUGAGAUCUACGUAUGAAAGCAGGGGACCUUCGGGCCUUGUGCUACUAGAGCGGCUGAUGGCAGAUUAGGUAGUUGGUGGGGUAAAGGCUUACCAAGCCUGCGAUCUGUAGCUGGUCUGAGAGGACGACCAGCCACACUGGGACUGAGACACGGCCCAGACUCCUACGGGAGGCAGCAGUGGGGAAUUUUGGACAAUGGGCGAAAGCCUGAUCCAGCAAUGCCGCGUGCAGGAUGAAGGCCCUCGGGUUGUAAACUGCUUUUGUACGGAACGAAAAGCCUGGGGCUAAUAUCCCCGGGUCAUGACGGUACCGGAAGAAUAAGCACCGGCUAACUACGUG